rnacentral:misc_RNA from 1 species
CUCCAACCUUCAACUGUUCGUGGGAUUCCUGAUGUCAGUAUCAAUUCUGUGCCAAUUGCAGGAGCUGAGAAUGGCUCCUCAGCUAGUUUGGAGCUGGAUCUUGAACAUUAUGUCAUCCCAGCGCCAUCAACUUCUGCAAACUCAGGUCUGGUAUAUGCAGCUAACAAUGCUGAGAAUCCAAGGUUUUCAAGUGGUGAUGGCUCAGGCAAUGCUUCAAAUUCCUAUAAGGAUGGUAGUUUUUCUGUUGAUCGGCCUGCAACUAUUAAGGAGAUGGAGGUCAGUAUCCCAGAUCCAUCCAGGGUCUACUCAGGUUCUGGGUUGGUUGAAUCGAAGUCAGUGGGGACAUUUUCUCCUUUGCAAAAGCAAGAUGGUCACAGGGGACUCUUUGUGGAUAGGGGGGUUGGAUCUCCUAGGCUAGUUAAAUCAUCCAGUUCAAGUACUUUUGCUUUUGAUCUCAAACUGG